UACGAAGGGUGCAAGCGUUACUCGGAAUUACUGGGCGUAAAGCGUGCGUAGGCGGUUUGUUAAGUCUGUCGUGAAAGCCCCGGGCUCAACCUGGGAAUGGCGAUGGAUACUGGCGAGCUAGAGUACGGUAGAGGAGAGUGGAAUUCCCGGUGUAGCAGUGAAAUGCGUAGAGAUCGGGAGGAACAUCAGUUGCGAAGGCGGCUCUCUGGACCAGUACUGACGCUGAGGUGCGAAAGCGUGGGGAGCAAACAGG
rnacentral:rRNA from 1 species